CAAAUCUCUAAAAAUCUAAAAUAAUAAUUCAUGAAGGCUUGGAUGUGUAGAUCUUCUACUUCGCAUAUACGACAGAUGCCAUAAAAAAGUAGGAUGAACUCCGAUCAAAUCACCUUCACAAUCUAAUCAAACGAGGGAUGAGAGGUACUGGUGUGACACCUCACACUAGCAAGGAGGAUGCCCAUAAGAGGGUCCACGGC
rnacentral:lncRNA from 1 species